GGCAAGAUGGCCGAGCGGUUAAGGCGGUAGUUUCAAGCGCUAGCUUACUCACUAAAAGCGAGACAGAUCACUACUGGAGCAAUCCUCCUGGGUUCGAGUCCCAGUCUUGUCA